GAUGAACGCUGGCGGCGUGCCUAAUACAUGCAAGUCGAGCGAACAGACGAGGAGCUUGCUCCUCGGACGUUAGCGGCGGACGGGAGAGUAACACGUGUAUAACCUACCUAUAAGACUGGUAUAAUUUCGGGAAACCGGAGCUAAUACCGGAUAAUAUAUUGAACCGCGUGGUGCAAUAGUGAAAGUCGGUGUUGCUGGCACUUAUAGAUGGAUCCGCGCCGCAUUAGCUAGUUGGUAAGUUAACGGGUUACCAAGGCUACGAUGCGUAGCCGACCGGAGAGAGUGGUAGCCGACCUUGGAGCUGAGCCGGCGUCCUGACUCCUGCGGGACGGACCAGACGCGUAUGUUCCGCAAUGGGCGAGAGCAUGACGGAGCGGGGGGGCGUCAGUGGUGACAGUGCUCCGUUCGUGAAGCUCUGUUACGAGGGGUGAACAAAUGUGUCCGUAACUGUGCAGGUCUUGACGGUAACUGGUCAAGAAGCCACGGCUAACUACGUG
rnacentral:rRNA from 1 species